rnacentral:lncRNA from 1 species
GGGAUUCUUGGCUCGGGGUCUCCCUAAUCAGAAGCUGAUCAUCUGUCUCUUAAGAUGCAUUAAAGCUUUACUGCAGAAGGAUCCAAGUGUCCUGUGUCGUUCUUGCUGGCGAGACGAUCGCGCGGGACAUCUGGUGCCGAAACCCGGGAACUUGUUGACAUUGCCGGCGCUUUGGGAGACCCCUCGGAGGAUGGGGCGGAUUCAGAACUGCAGGGAGGACGAAGAGAAUCCCCUGUGGAUCCCGGAAAGACUCACCCGAAGAGCCCCUUCAGACCCUCAAAAGUCGGAACUCCACCUUCUCCCCUCAAAUUAGUUGGGAGUUCAAUGAGACCUUCCCAGGCUCUUCCUGGAUUUCAUCAGCAGUUUCUUAUUUUAAGGAAUGGGUGGGGGUGGGACUUUUUGGCACAAUUCUCUGCAGUGGUGUGGUGUUUAUGCUUUGGACUGUGUGUAGACUCAAAACCCAAACAAAAAAAAAGAUAAGGUAGUGGUUGCACAGGCACUCGCUGCCCUAGAGAAUGGAAUCUCCCCCAGCAUUUGGCUAAGCAUGUUGAAGCAAUAGGUCGCCGACUGCUCAGCUCCUGCACCUCCGGAGGCUUGACCUCAUUGCACGGAAUAGAGUGAGCAAGGUUCGGCAGGCCAAAAGAGUUACAAGGCUAAGCACUACACAGAAAGGGCCUGCGGCUUUUCUUGUGGCUCUUCUGGGAGAUAUGUCAUCUUGCAUGAAGGUUAUAUGUCAUAAUGCUCUUCCCCCAGAAAAAGACAUAAGGACGGGUCUGGGCCUGCUCUGGACACAAAAUCUGAAGUCCUGCUCAAGACAAGGUCUGCAUCCAGUUUUGGGGAGUUGACCUCUAUCUCCACUCUGCAUUUGGCUGGCCUAUAGCCUCUGUGUUUCUAUAUAAUUAUAUAGGGGGAGAUGUGAGGAGCCGCACUCACAUUCGCCAUUACAAGAUGGCGCUGAUAUCCGCUGCUGGAUCAAGUAAACAACGUUGGUGCACAUGUGCCCAGUGUUUUUCCACUUGCCCAGUCUUGCGUCGUAUAGGGUGAUGAGUCAUCCACCUAUCCCAGCUGUACAAGCACUGCUCGGAGCUUAUGAGCCUUUAUAAGGGGAUGGGAUUCUUGGCUCGGGGUCUCCCUAAUCGGAAGCUGAU